AAAUAAAUAAAUUGUUGUGUUCAUGUUAGUAGUUCCAGUAACUUCAAGAACCACUUGUGUCCCCUGCCCUGCAGCAGCAACACACUUGGUAGGGAGAUAACACACAAGGAGCUCCAUGUCGCCCUAGUAGGAUUAGGCCACGUAAGUGAAAACAUAUCUGAAUUUGGCAAAGUUGUAAAAUGCAACAAACCUUAUUUUGCAUGUAUGCAUAUAUCCUGUCAUACCUGCUGAUAAAGUGUGCUCAGUUCUCUGAUGACUGCAUUUCAGUAGGAAAGUACCCAAAUUCAGGGUAAAACACGACUUUCUUUUUAUUUUUUAUUUUUUUUCUUCUGAACUGCUCUAUGUCAGGGUUCUCUGAUAUAGGUUUGGGAUGGCCAAAGAAGAAAACGGAGCAAAGAGGUGAGCGCCAGCCUGGAAGAGGCAACGGGAGAGGGACCGGGGAGGGAGCUGGGCCACCGCGAGGCCACGGCAGAGAAAAUGGACACCUGGAGAAGGCUGGGCAAAAAGUUUGCGGGCAGGGGCCGAAGGGCUGAGCCGCAGGGCCGGCAGGCAGGAGCCUGUCACCUCAGCAGCACCGCGGCGCGGCGGGGAGGCAGCACAGGGGGACACAGGCCGGACGCUGCCACAGCUCCGGGCCGCCAGGGCACCGGCCCGGCCCGGGUAGGCCCUGCCCGGACCCGCCGAGCCUGGGGCGGCCUCGGGUCCGUGCCCCCAGCGGUGGGGACCCCCCGGGCAGCCCGGCCCAGGUGAGGGGCGCUGUGGAGGCCUCGCUGCCUCCCGAGAAGCUGCCGCUGAGCCCCGCUGCGCCGCCACAGCGCGGCCCCGAGCGGCUGCCGGCGGCCUGGGGGCGCGGAGGGGUGGAGGCGCUGCCGGAGGUGCCUCUGGGGGAGCGGGCUGGCGCCGAGGGAGUGCUGAAACAGUAACUGCAGCUUGUCCCCGUCUCUGCGUUUGUUAAAUCCGUGAGUGGCACGAUAUAAUUGCUUUAUGAACGCAAUCGUGAAUCAGCAAUCAAGCCUGUUUCAUUUAGGAUGCGUUUUAAGAAGGUAACGUCAAACCCGCCUGCAGCAUGGAACCUCAGAGAGACGACGACUCCUCAGAGCUGAGGCUGUUUGUUUUUGCGUUAAGGCUGGCCAGCAGACCUAGGUGGAUCCGGUUACUGGUUAUUUAGUGCUCACCGAAGUCGCCGGCUUGCAGAGAGGUAAAUGCUGCGGCUCUGCGUGCAGACAUUGUCCAUAUGAGCAAGUUAACGUAAAAGACCAAUCCAAAAAGAAGCGCUUCAACUCUUUUUUUUUUUUUGUGUGUGACUCCUAAUGUCUUUGCAUUCUGCAAGAGCUGCUGAGAAACCCAAGCGCCUCAGUUCUUU